rnacentral:lncRNA from 1 species
GGCUAAGUCAUGGGCAAGUAGACGCAGCGAUGAUCUGAGGAUGAGGGGCCACGGGAAAGAAGAGAACCCUGAGCGUGGCUGGGGCAAAGCUCAAAGGGUUCCCUUCAAUCAAGACUAUGGACGGAGAGGAGUCAGAGCAAGUGCUUAUGGCAGACAGACAAUGCACAUUGCGUCUGCAGCACCCCCCUCCACUCCUCGUCCCCCACAAAUGACCAGGAGAAGUGAGUAUCAUGUUUUCGUUUUGUGAGUGUGCUUUAGACCUCAGGUGGUUUGCAGCCCAAGUUCACACAUUUUCCACUGGCCACUCCAGCAUCUGCCUUGUGACUCUUCGGCUUGCUCAGCUGGAAACUGUGAAAACCUUGCAGGACUCCCCGGUGACUCAGAGGGGAGGGGGGAAAGGACUCCGCGGAAUCAGCUGGGCCACUUUGUGCAAACUUCCUCCUUUCUGUACACAAUGCCACAAGGCAGACUUUGACCCUUGUAAAAGAACAGCAGGCCACACUCCCCACCCAGACCUGUCUAAAGACACACCCUGUGGAGACUAGACCCUGGUGUGCACUGUCUUGGAAAUGCCUUGUAGAGGAUGGGGGUGUGUGGGGCUCCCUUUACCCCCAUUUCUAACAAAGCCAGCAUUUGCUUUAACCUGCCUUUGGUGUGAAAGCAAUUUCUCUUAGGGUGACAACAGAGGGAAUCCACAGAAGAGAUGACAGUCACGUUAACAAGAAGGUUCAAGGAGGGAUCAUGCUAACGUGUGCAAAGUGAA